CGCUAGUGUUCAUCUGGAGUGGGAAGUGAGCGGAUGGUUAACUCGUGCCCGCGGUGUUCACAGUGAUUAUAUUAUACAUAUAAGGAAUAACCCGGUGUGUCGUGCGGUAUAUUUCACAUUUACUUCGCUACAAAGUGUCAGCCAGGAACAAGAGGGUGAAGGUCGGCAGCUUGUGAAGUGCGGUGAUAAAAGCCCCCCUUCCCCCUCCUCCCCCCUCCUCCUCCCUUCCCCCGUCGAGGAGAAGUGGUGGUUGUGGUGGUGGUGGUGGUCGUCGUGUGCGUGUGUGUGUGUGUGUCAGUCACUUCCUGGUGGUGUUGUGGUGGUGGUGAUUAUAACCAGCCCCUCCAAAGCUCCUCCUCUUCCUCCUCUCAAUACCAUCACGCGCCACCACCACGCCUCUGUGCUCGCUCUGUGGGAGAGAAGUGAGAGAGAGAUAGAUAGAUAGAAAAGAAAAAAAAGGGUAAAA